rnacentral:rRNA from 1 species
GCCAGCAGCCAUAUCACCCUGCAACUCACAACUGGCAGCCCACUAAAGCUAAGCAGGUGUGAGCCUGGUCAGUAUCUGGAUGGGAGACCUCCUGGGAAAAACUAAGGUUGUGACUGGAA